GACGAACGCUGGCGGCGUGCCUAAUACAUGCAAGUCGAACGAGAGCACCCGGUGCUUGCACUGGUCAAUCUAGUGGCGAACGGGUGAGUAACACGUGGGUAACCUGCCCAUCAGAGGGGGAUAACAUCCGGAAACGGAUGCUAAAACCGCAUAGGUCUUCGAACCGCAUGGUUUGAAGAGGAAAAGAGGCGCAAGCUUCUGCUGAUGGAUGGACCCGCGGUGCAUUAGCUAGUUGGUGAGGUAACGACUCACCAAGGCCGUGAUGCAUAGCCGACCUGAGAGGGUGAUCGGCCACAUUGGGACUGAGACACGGCCCAAACUCCUACGGGAGGCAGCAGUAGGGAAUCUUCCGCAAUGGACGCAAGUCUGACGGAGCAACGCCGCGUGAGUGAAGAAGGUUUUCGGAUCGUAAAACUCUGUUGUUAGAGAAGAACAAGUGCUAGAGUAACUGUUAGCGCCUUGACGGUAUCUAACCAGAAAGCCACGGCUAACUACGUG
rnacentral:rRNA from 1 species